UUUCUUGGGAUCGGUGGUGGAAAGACCCUCAAUUCUUCCUAUAAAUACUGCCCAUUCUUCUCUUCUCUCAACACUUCCCUUUAAAAAAGAAGAGAUUUUCUCUCUUUAUUUUCUCAAGAAACCCUAUUUAGGGUUAAUGGGGUUGCAGCUAUAGAGGUUUUUUGUUUUUUAUUUUAUUAUUUUGGAGGAGCCGUGAAGCAACAGUAAAGUUGUCUUCGUGUAACAUAUAGGCCAUGCAUUCGGGCCGUUGAAUCAGUCACUGAGUAUGACUCUUCCUCGGAUCCUAUGUAAAUGCGGGAUAUUUCGUGCAUCGGACUGCCUUAAGAUGAAGAGAAAUUGUUGCGGUUCAAUAAAGCUGUGGGAAGAUACACAUAGGGUCAUACACAGUUUUUACAGAUGCAGAUUUUGAUUUUAUUACUGCAUGGUAAAUUUCAGGGAAAUUUAACCUGGAAUUCUGAUGGUGUUUAUACUUGCUUUUCUUUAAUUAGUUGUUUAUGUAUGUUGGAAAUGAGGUAUUCAUUAUGAUUUACAGUGUAAUUUUUCGGCGAGAGGUGACUCCGCCACGGCUGAUGAGCUCUCUUUCACUAGAUCUGUUUCUUAUUGUGUAGUCUACCAGAUAUUUCAGUUUGUGACUUCUCUGGUUAUUGAUGUGUUAUGUGUUUGGCAUCGACCCCUACCUGUACAUAUAGAUCAGCAAAAUUUACAAGUUUUCAACCUUUA